CUCACUUUGAUAAUUUCCUGGCGUCUAUUUUUCCUGGGAGACUGUGCUUCUUCUUGUUCUAGAGCUUUCAGUGAGACAUGUCUGAUCCUGGCAGGACCGACUUAUUUCAGAGAGGAAGAUGGGCACUGAAGACACUCCAUAUGGAGUAUAUCUUAUUCUUUGCAAAAAUAGUCAUUUUGGCAAGCAACUGUUCUUGCCUGGACUGAGUGACAAAAUGUUGUAUUGACUGGACAUGCAGGACCCAUGAAAAAAUGACCACUGAAUUUGCCCAAAUAAGGCAAAAAUAGUCCUUCAGGUUCUUGCUUCAUGGAAGAAACUGCCAGACAUUCUAAAAGACACAGAAAGAAGUGACUGAGAGACUGUAGGCCUUUAGGCUAAAGAUGGAUGCUCCAAUGCUGCAGAUGAACUUUGGGUGACUGUCCAGGUGACCAGCUGUCUCUGUCAUUUCCAGAGUUUUGGAGGUUGCUUACAAUGCUCUUCCUGUUUACUUAGGUAACAUUAUAUCCUUCUGAGUUAUUUGAUGUAGUUGAAGACUAAUUAUAAUUUUCCUUAGUUAUAAUAAAAAAUAAGUUAUAUAUGAAAACUUAGACUCACAAAUAUAAGGUAAAUAGAAUAUUUUCUUUGAAUUUGCCAAAUAUAAAUAUACUUAGACUAGAUGUUGUGACUAUAAUUCUUGCUUGAUAACUGUUUUGUUAUAUGUAAUUUUAUUAUGUUAAAGUUAAACUCUUUCUUUUUGAUAAGACAGAAAAGGAGAGGUGCUGUGGGAUGUUCUGUAUGCUGUGAAUGUAUUGCUCUGAUUGGCUGAUAAAUAAAAAAACUGAUUUGCCAGUAGCCAGGCAGGAAGUAUAGGUGGGAUAAACAGACAAGGAGAAUUCUGGGAAGAAGAAGGCUGAGUCAGGAGAUGCCAGCCUACCAUCUAGGGAGCAGCAUUUAAUACCACACAGGUAAAGCCACAGAAUACAUGACAACAUAUAGAUUAACAGAAAUUGGCUGAGUUUAAGUGUAAGAGCUAGUCAGUGGUAGGCCUGAGCUAAUGGCCAAGCAGUUUUCAUUAAUAUAAACCUCUGUAUGUUUACUUGGGACUGAAUGGCUAUGGGAUUGCAGGGCCACCAUGUAGGAACACAGAAAAACUGUGUUACAGUGGCUUCUUUUUUAUCAUUUAUUAUUGCAUGCACAAAUACACACAAAUAAUAUAGGUCUAUACAUACAUACAUACAUACAUACAUACAUACAUACAUACAUACAUGUAUAGAUGCAAACAAUAAUAAACAAUAUAACAUAACAUAUAUAUUCCUAAACAUUACCUGUGGCAUCCAUAUAAUAUUACUCAUAUGUGUAUUUUCAUGGCUGACCAUUGUGAUCUUCCCCAGGGAAGACAGCCUCUCCCACUCCCAGCUUUACCCAGUUAACUAUAGUACUUUGUGUGGGAAUGUAGACUCAUAGGAUUUUCAUCAUGUUGUUUUUGUCAUGUUCUUUGCCAUCAUCCUUGUUUAGCUUCUUUUUGAGUUUUACAUGUUGGUGAGGCUUUAUAAUUAUAGCUUCAUUACAUGAAGAAACAUAUGUUACCUGCUACUAUGGUGAUGGAGCACAAGAAAUAGAUUUAAGAUGACCCUGGUAAAAUGCACUGGAAGAGGGUAAACACUAAAUAUUGGUGGCAAUUUUUUUUCUUUUUGAACAUUUUUGUACAGGCAUGUCAAUGUUCUAUGUUUUUAUUUGUAUUCCCCCUCACUUCUUUCCUCUGUUCUCCCUCUGCUUUUCUGUGGCACACAUUCCUUUACCCUCUGGUUUAUCCUUCUCAACUUUCCAUAUGAGUGCAGUUUUUGUUCUCUGCCUCUUUGUACAUUUUUACCUAAAGAAACACUUGUACACACACACACACACACACACACACACACACACACACACACACACACGUAACUAGAGUUUUUCUGGUCCUUCCUGGCCCACAGUCAGGACAAAUCUCUCUCACCCACCACAGCCACUCAGACCCUACCAAGUAAACUAAACACACAGAGACUUACGUUACUUAUAAAUUGUAUGGCCAUGGCAGGCUUCUAGCUAGCUGUUCUUGUAUCUUAAAUUAACCCAUUGCUAUUAAUCUAUAAGUUGCCACGUGGCUUGUGGCUUACUGGUAUCUUAACAUCUUUUCAUGGCAGUGGCUGGCAGCAUCUCUCUGACUCAGCCUUCCACUUCCCAGAAUUCUCCUCUCUCCUUAUCCUGCCUAUAUAUCCUGCCUGGCUACUGGCCAAUCAGUGUUUUAUUUACUAAUCCAUCAGAGCAACACACUUAACAUACAGAACAUCCCACAGUGCAUACACACACACACACACACACACACACACACACACACAGAGAGAGAGAGAGAGAGAGAGAGAGAGACUCACACAAAUCUUCCCUCUAACCCCAAAACUAGAUGCUCACAAAUGAGAGAAACCAUUUAGUAUUUGUCUUCUAUAUCUGGCUCAUUUCAUUUAACAAUAUGUCUAGUUCAAUUUGUUUUACUGAAAAUGCCAUUAUUUCAUUUUUCUUUAGGCCUGAAUACAGCUCCAUCAUGUGUGUGUGCCUUUUCUUAACACAGUACUGUUGAUGUUAUUGCUGCCUAUUUAAAGAUUCUGUGGGUGUAGAUAAUGAUGCAAUUGCUUGGGAGAGUCCCCAGAUGGGACUGAGCUCUUAACAUGAAUUCUACAGUGUGAACAUGUUAGAGGUCCUGAAGGAUUCCUGGACUUGGAUGACUAGAAACCAGUUGAAAGGGAGGCCCCUUCAAGAUGAUCCUGAUAAAGAAGUGGAUUUGCAGUAGUAGAGUAGACUAGAUAGAAGAGCUGAGAUGACAGGAUAGAUGGCAAUGCCAUAACAUAGGCCUGCUCAGUAAUUUCUAUUAAAUAUGAUACAAAAUGACUUUCAAAUACCUAUUAAUUAUUCAAAAAUACAAUAAGAUCUAUGCAUCUUAUACAAUUUAAUAAUUAUCUUAACAGUGUUUACAAUGACUAUACAUCUGAGAUUUCAUGUGCAUGAUUAAGUAUUUUUGAAAAUGAGAAAAAGUUGCAGCGUGACAGAAUUAAUACCACUUCAUAUGCUUGAAAGUGCAAAUCAGACUAGCUUUACCAUCUUAGUAAAAGCAUUGAAUUUGAGGCAUGCUUGUUCUGAGGUGUUUGGAAUUUCAGUACUUUUUCAGAUACCACUGUUUCCCACAGCUGGAACAAAGGUUCCCUGUGCAGAAUGAAUUUGCAGGCAUUGCUGCCAUAGCUCCACUUCACUGUGCCCUCACCACACAUGGUAUCUUGGUAUUAUAGUCUUUAUACUGUGCUCAGAAUAGCAGAAUAACAGAAUUUUAAAUAGCAGCUAUAUGACUGAUAUAGUAUACCAAAUGACAAUAUAGUAAAAUGAAGGCAGACUAAGCAGUUCUGAAAUGUUUACUUCCUAGUUAUAGGUUGUACAAAAAAAUUGUAAUAACAUGCAUAGACAAAUAUUGAGCAUUCAUAUUCUGUAGAUGCAGAUCUAAUGUGGGUGUGAUAGUGUUUGACCUUGUUUGUUUAAAUUUUGAGAUUUCAAUAUGAUUGAGAUAAUUUUAUACAGAAUUCAUAAAAAUAAAGAAAGUGUUGAUUUCUCUUUUCUAAGAACUUAGUUAAAUCUACUACAUAAAUCACAAAUUAUUCAUUUAUUAUGCUAUGGUUUUAUUGGAAUGAUUUGAAUGAAAAUAUGUAUGCAGCUAUCAUGUGAUUAAAUAAAAUGUUAUCAUUUGUGUGAGACCUUACAUUUUCCAUGUUUUAUUAGCAUGUGAAAAUAACAGAGACAUCACUUAUUUGCCUGCUAUGUAGCUAUCUCUUUUAUAAGAAAUGUGUAGCAAAGCUGGGCAUAGUGGUAUAAGUCUAACAUCCACCAAUCGACUUUGAUUAGCCACAAAGUAAUUGUAACUAGCUCUGAUUCCCAUGCUGGGGGACUUUGCUUUGAGUGUGAAACAUGUGAGAUUUACUUCUCAAAGGACUUCCUUAUGUAUUCCUUUGUUCAUCAGUAUAUGAAGAGGAGGCUUAAUGGAGUUUCAGAGUUGUUAAAAGAGAAGCACUGUCCUAUACCUCUUUAGGCACUGCUCUUUCUGAUAUUUCACACAGUGUUUGAAUAUGAAACACAUUAAAAGAAUUUGAAUUUUUUUAGUCUAUUUUCAAUAAAAGGAAACAAAUGAAAAAUUAUUUUUUUAUUUUUAAUGUAUGAAAGUUGCUUGAAUAGGUGUAUGUGCACCACACACACACACACCUGGUACCAUGAGUGGUCAGAAGAGGGCAUUGAAUCCCCUGGAACCUGAACCACAGAUGUCUGUGAGCCACAUGUAGGUACUGUGAACCAAACCCAGGUCUUUUGUGAGAGUAACAAGAAUUCUUUUUUUUUUUAAUUUUUUUAAAUUUUGCAAUACAAAGAAUUUGAAUUUUUUAAAAGUCUACAAACAUUGAUCUAUAGAGAAAAUAUACAUGGAUAUGUGAUUUAUACAAAGGCAGCAUUAACCAUACAGAAAGAAAUACUUACCCCUUUUGCCUUGUUUUCUAUGCCUAAAGGACUGUUACCUCCUUCAUGGAACAGGUCAGUGAAGUGACAUUGUAGAGCUGAACUCUUUAGAUAAAGAACUACAUGGAAGCAGAUAAGAAACAAUUAUCAUCUUGAAAUAUGUGUUAAAAUAAAACAUGCCUUCAAAUAAAGUUCUAAAGAUUUCUCAUUGUCUUUUUAUUUUUGAAAUUGUAUUUUAAUUACAUGCCUCCCUUCCAUAGUCUUCUUCAAAUUAAUGACCUCUUUUUACAUAUAUUGCAUAUAAAUAUUUGUAUAUAGUGCACACUGUGGGAUAAUGCUUUUGUACACUGGUUUAAUAAAACACGGAUUGG